CUUUGAGCCGUUAUGGUAAAGUCGCGAUCGCUGAAACCAAUAUCGAGGAGCUGCCAAAGGCUUAGCCUUUGCAGAUUACUAUGGCGUAGGUGAAGAUGAUGAAGGCAUUGAGGACAUGCAUGUAAGAUCUUCGGUUAGCGAAUCUGAAGAAUUAUCUCAUCCCAUCUCCCAUCAUCUUGGCCGGAGCAACCAGAGGCUUUCCAAUCUAGUUUAGGGUUGCCGUAGUUCUUUUCACGGUUUUGUUUCCUUUCCCAGUUAUGAGGGCUACGGUAUAAUAUUUGGGCAGUUUUGGUUGGAUGGGAGCUGGUAUAAAUGUGCCUAGCUACUAGAAAAACUCUCAGUUAGUUUUGAUUGGAUUGGGGAAUAUGUACCUACUAGACUAGGCUUGUUAACCUUCAACUGUUAUGCUAUAUUUUCCGAACGAAGUUAUUGUAUGUAUAUGCAUAUAUUCAAGUAUAUUGUUGAUUUACAUCUA